CACGUAGUUAGCCGGGGCUUUUUCUUAUGGUACCGUCAUUAUCUUCCCAUAUAAAAGAACUUUACGACUCGAAAGCCUUCAUCGUUCACGCGGCGUCGCUGCAUCAGAGUUCCCUCCAUUGUGCAAUAUUCCCCACUGCUGCCUCCCGUAGGAGUUUGGACCGUCUCUCAGUUCCAAUGUGGCCGUUCACCCUCUCAGGCCGGCUACCCAUCGUCGCCUUGGUGGGCCGUUACCUCACCAACUAGCUAAUGGGAUGCGAGUCCAUCUUAGACCACCGGAGUUUUGAUCAUUAGUGCAUGUGCACCUAUGAUUUUAUUUGGUAUUAAUCCCGGUUUCCCGAGGCUAUCCCAAUGUCUAAGGCAGGUUACUCACGUGUUACUCACCCGUCCGCCGCUAAUCCAUCUUAUCUUCACCCCGAAGGGAUCUGUCAAGAUUUCAUCGCUCGACUUGCAUGUGUUAAGCGCGCCGCCAGCGUUCGUCCUGAGCCAGGAUCAAACUCU
rnacentral:rRNA from 1 species